rnacentral:lncRNA from 1 species
CCCCCACAGUACUGGAGGGGUAUCUUCAAACCACCAACUUAAUACCCUGAGACAAGGCCGAAUAUAGCCCACGAAGAUCUCCCCAACGGCAGGAACCCGAGGGGGGCGCCAACCCGGACAGGAAGAUCACGUCAGUGACUCAACGCACUCAAGUGAAGCACCCCUCUUAGGGACAGCAUGGAAGAGCACCAGUAAGCCAGUGACUCAGCCCCCGUAACAGGGUUUGAGGCAGAGAAGGUACUGUAACAGGAGUAGUGUAGAGAGCAGAGAAGGUAAUGUAACAGGAGUAGUGUAGGGUUUAGUGAAGGUACUGUAACAGGAGUAGUGUAGGGUGUAGUGAAGGUACUGUAACAGGAGUAGUGUAGGGUGUAGUGAAGGUACUGUAACAGGAGUAGUGUAGGGUGUAGUGAAGGUACUGUAACAGGAGUAGUCUAGGGUGUAGUGAAGGUACUGUAACAGGAGUAGUGAAGGUACUGUGACAGGAGUAGUGUAGGGUGUAGUGAAGGUACUGUAACAGGAGUAGUGUAGGGUGUAGUGAAGGUACUGUAACAGGAGUAGUGUAGGGUGUAGUGAAGGUACUGUGACAGGAGAAGUGUAGGGUGUAGUGAAGGUACUGUAACAGGAGUAGUGUAGGGUGUAGUGAAGGUUCUGUAACAGGAGUAGUGUAGGGUGUAGUGAAGGUACUGUAACAGGAGUAGUGAAGGUACUGUGACAGGAGUAGUGUAGGGUGUAGUGAAGGUACUGUAACAGGAGUAGUGUAGGGUGUAGUGAAGGUACUGUGACAGGGGUAGUGUAGUGUGUAGUGAAGGUACUGUAACAGGAGUAGUGUAGGGUGUAGUGAAGGUACUGUAACAGGAGUAGUGUAGG